GCCACGUGUGGUGGCGCACACCUGUAAUCCCAGCAGCCCAGGAGGCUGAGGCAGGAGGAUCGCGAGUUCAAAGUCAGCCUCAGCAACUUAGUGAGGCGCUAAGCAACUCAGUGAGACCCUGUCUCCA
rnacentral:sRNA from 1 species